rnacentral:rRNA from 1 species
UACGAAGGGGGGCUAGCGUUGCUCGGAAUCACUGGGCGUAAAGCGCACGUAGGCGGCUUUCUAAGUCAGGGGUGAAAUCCUGGAGCUCAACUCCAGAACUGCCUUUGAUACUGGAGAGCUUGAGUCCGGGAGAGGUGAGUGGAACUCCGAGUGUAGAGGUGAAAUUCGUAGAUAUUCGGAAGAACACCAGUGGCGAAAGGCGGCUCACUGGCCCGGUACUGACGCUGAUGUGCGAAAGCGUGGGAGCAACAGG